UUAAGCUAAUAAGAGCGCAGGGUGGAUGCCUUGGCACUAAGAGCCGAUGAAAGACGUGAUAAGCUGCGAAAAGCUUCGGGGAGGAGCAAAUAUCCAUUGAUCCGGAGAUAUCUGAAUGGGGAAACCCGGCUGAGAAGACCUCAGUCAUCCAUACGCCAAUACAUAACGUAUGGAAGGGAACCCGCUGAACUGAAACAUCUAAGUAGGCGGAGGAAGAGAAAGAAACAUCGAUUCCCAAAGUAGCGGCGAGCGAAAUGGGAAGAGCCCAAACCAGAGUGCGUGCACUCUGGGGUUACGGACUGCAUAAGUGAGCUGAUUCGUUAAUGGAACGGUCCUGGAAAGACCGGCCAGAGAGAGUGAAAGCCUCGUACAUGAAAACGAUAAGCAGCGGCAGGAUCCAGAGUACCGCGAGACACGUGGAACCUUGCGGGAAUUCGGGGGGACCACCCCCCAAGGCUAAAUACUCCUUAGUGACCGAUAGCGCAUAGUACUGUGAAGGAAAGGUGAAAAGGACCCCGGGAGGGGAGUGAAAGAGAACCUGAAACCCUGUGUUUACAAGCUGUGGAAGCACGUUAAGGUGCAACCGCGUACUUUUUGUAGAACGGUCCGGCGAGUUGCGGAUGCUGGCGAGGUUAAGGAGUAAAGCUCCGGAGCCGAAGCGAGAGCGAGUCUUAAUAGGGCGUAAAGUCAGCAUGUGCAGACCCGAAACCGGGUGACCUAUCCAUGUCCAGGUUGAAGUUCCCGUAAAAGGGAAUGGAGGACCGAACGCACAUCCGUUGAAAAGGGUGGCGAUGAGGUGUGGAUAGGGGAGAAAUUCCAAUCGAACCCGGAGAUAGCUGGUUCUCCUCGAAAUAGCUUUAGGGCUAGCCUCGUAUUAGUUUAGCGGAGGUAGAGCACUGAAUUUCCUAGGGGGCGUCAAAGUCUACCGAAGAAUAUCAAACUCCGAAUGCCGCAUAAAUGAUGUACGGGAGUCAGACUGCACGAGAUAAGUUGGGUAGUCAAAAGGGAAAGAGCCCAGACCUACAGCUAAGGUCCCAAAGUGUGUGUUAAGUGGAAAAGGAUGUGGGAUUUCGAAGACAACUAGGAUGUUGGCUCAGAAGCAGCCAUACAUUCAAAGAGUGCGUAAUAGCUCACUAGUCGAGAGGUCCUGCGCCGAAAAUGUCCGGGGCUAAAACACAACACCGAAGCUUAGGAAUGUAGAAAUACAUUGGUAGAGGAGCAUUCUUAAAGGAAUGAAGCAGUACCGGUAAGGAGCUGUGGACUUUUAAGAAGAGAGAAUGCCGGAAUGAGUAGCGAGAUGGAGGUGGGAAUCCUCCAGGCCGAAUAUCUAAGGUUUCCAGAGUAAAGCUGAUCUGCUCUGGGUAAGUCGGGGCCUAAGGCGAGGUCGAAAGACGUAGUCGAUGGAUAACAGGUUGAAAUUCCUGUACUGCAUAUCAUCAGAACUGUGGGGACACAGAGAGAUACCGGAACCUGGGAAUGAAGAUACCAGGGCAAGCGAGGUAGGUGCUAAGCUGGCAAAACCGCUUAGUAAGCCGAAGACGUGAUGCGGAGCGAAUUAAAGUAGCGAAGUCCGGGAUUCGAGCUGUCGAGAAAAGCCGCUAUUGUGUGAUAUGUACCCGUACCGUAAACCGACACAGGUGGAUGAGGAGAGAAUCCUAAGGCCGGCGGGAGAAGCAUUGUUAAGGAACUCGGCAAAAUGACCCUGUAACUUCGGGAGAAAGGGUGCCUGGGAAACCAGGCCGCAGAGAAUAGGCUCAAGCAACUGUUUAGCAAAAACACAGGUCUAUGCGAAACCGAAAGGUGAGGUAUAUGGGCUGACGCCUGCCCGGUGCUGGAAGGUUAAGAGGAGAGGUUAGCGCAAGCGAAGCUUUGAAUUUAAGCCCCAGUAAACGGCGGCCGUAACUAUAACGGUCCUAAGGUAGCGAAAUUCCUUGUCGGGUAAG
rnacentral:rRNA from 1 species